CAUCCUCCAAGGCUAAAUACUCCUGACUGACCGAUAGUGAACCAGUACCGUGAGGGAAAGGCGAAAAGAACCCCGGCGAGGGGAGUGAAAAAGAACCUGAAACCGUGUACGUACAAGCAGUGGGAGCACGCUUCGGCGUGUGACUGCGUACCUUUUGUAUAAUGGGUCAGCGACUUAUAUUCUGUAGCAAGGUUAACCGAAUAGGGGAGCCGAAGGGAAACCGAGUCUUAACUGGGCGUUAAGUUGCAGGGUAUAGACCCGAAACCCGGUGAUCUAGCCAUGGGCAGGUUGAAGGUUGGGUAACACUAACUGGAGGACCGAACCGACUAAUGUUGAAAAAUUAGCGGAUGACUUGUGGCUGGGGGUGAAAGGCCAAUCAAACCGGGAGAUAGCUGGUUCUCCCCGAAAGCUAUUUAGGUAGCGCCUCGUGAAUUCAUCUCCGGGGGUAGAGCACUGUUUCGGCAAGGGGGUCAUCCCGACUUACCAACCCGAUGCAAACUGCGAAUACCGGAGAAUGUUAUUACGGGAGACACACGGCGGGUGCUAACGUCCGUCGUGAAGAGGGAAACAACCCAGACCGCCAGCUAAGGUCCCAAAGUCAUGGUUAAGUGGGAAACGAUGUGGGAAGGCCCAGACAGCCAGGAUGUUGGCUUAGAAGCAGCCAUCAUUUAAAGAAAGCGUAAUAGCUCACUGGUCGAGUCGGCCUGCGCGGAAGAUGUAACGGGGCUAAACCAUGCACCGAAGCUGCGGCAGCGACACUAUGUGUUGUUGGGUAGGGGAGCGUUCUGUAAGCCUGUGAAGGUGUGCUGUGAGGCAUGCUGGAGGUAUCAGAAGUGCGAAUGCUGACAUAAGUAACGAUAAAGCGGGUGAAAAGCCCGCUCGCCGGAAGACCAAGGGUUCCUGUCCAACGUUAAUCGGGGCAGGGUGAGUCGACCCCUAAGG
rnacentral:rRNA from 1 species